rnacentral:rRNA from 1 species
UAGGGAAUAUUGGUAAUGUGCGAAAGCGCGAACAAGCAACGCCGCGUGCACGAUGAAGGCCUUCGGGUUGUAAAGUGCUUUUAGAGAGGAUGAGGAAGGACAGUACUUUCUGAAUAAGCCUCGGCUAACUACGUGCCAGCAGCCGCGGUAAAACGUAGGAGGCUAGCGUUAUCCGGAUUUACUGGGCGUAAAGCGCGUGCAGGUGGUUUCGUAAGUUGGAUGUGAAAGCUCCUGGCUUAACUGGGAGAGGUCGUUCAAAACUGCGAGGCUUGAGAGUGGUAGAGGGAGGUGGAAUUCCGGGUGUAGUGGUGAAAUGCGUAGAUAUCCGGAGGAACACCAGUGGCGAAAGCGGCCUCCUGGACCAUUUCUGACACUCAGACGCGAAAGCUAAGGUAGCAAACG